AAACAUAUGGAUGAUUACACCCUAGUAUUUGCUGUGAUUCUACAGAAAUGCAUGACUCUCAGGAGACAUCCAAAAGACAGCAGAUAACUCACAUGAAACUGAAUAGUGAACUUCAUCCUCAAUGAACCACAGAGUUCCCCAUUCUGAGUAUAUUGUUCAAGUUAUUUUCCUAUUUUCCUUCCGCAGGUUCUAGCAUGUAUUAACACCGUGUGUCUGAAGUCUUCCCUGCUGGUCAUCUGGAGGAAUCUGAGAAGGGGCAGGUCUUUCUUCUGACUCUCAGAGCAGCACCCUCUGCUGGACAGGGCCGGGCACCUCAUCUCAAGCCCAGUCUGAUCCACCAACAGGGUCUGUUAUCUCCUGUCCAGGGAAGAGUCAAGCUGCACUAAUCUAGACCAGGGAUCCCCACCCCUGGGCUGCGGACCGGUCCCCGUGGGUGGCCUGUCAGGAACUGAACCGCACAGCAGCACGUGAGCAGCGGGUGAUUGAGCAUGACCACCUGAGCUCUGCCUCCUGUGAGAUCAGCAGCGCCACUGCAUCUCAGAGGAGUGCGAACCCUACUGUGAACUGUGCAUGUGAGGGAUCUGGGUUGCAUGCUCUUUAUGAGAAUCUAACUAAUGCCUGAUGAUCUCGAGCGGCACAGUUUAAUCCUGAAACCAUCCCCCCGCCUGUGGAAAAACUGCCUUCCACAAAACCAGUCCCUGGUGCCAAAAACGCUGGGAACCGCUAAUCUAGACAGUUCUCUGCUAAGGAAGCACGUGGUUGAGAAACAUCAGAAUCGUUCCCAGGGACCAUGCUCCGGAGUCUCAGCAGGCGCCUGCAGGUGAGCCCCACUGAGGAGAGGUGAGCCUCUCCUCUUCCUUCUGGACUUCCUCAGCUUUGGUAAUGAAAAGCUGCAUCCUCUUCUGUCCCCAGUUCCUCUCUGGGUGUCAGGAUCUCUAAAACCCUCUCAGCCGCUGAGAAAUCUGUCUAUCUGUCUCACAGUGUCUUUAUCCGUGCAUCAUGAAGGACCCUCAUACGGCUGACGUGCCUUGGCUAAUGCGAGUAACACUGCAGCAAGCGUGGGAGUGCAGAUACCUCUUGGAAAAACCCAUUUCCUUCAGAUACACACUCAGAGGUAGGAUUGCUGUAUUGUUUGGUCAUUUUGAAUUUUAAAAUUAAAAAUAAUUUUAAUUCUCAUAUUGUUUUGAGUAAAAUUAAAUUAUAACUUGUAAGGCAACUCCAUGAUUUUUAUAAUUUUUUAAGAAAUAAUUGCUCUGCCAAUUGACUGUCCCAACAACAGUGUACAGGGGCAUUU